UGGGUAACACGUAUGCAACCUGCCUGCCACAGCCGGAUAAUCGGGAGAAAUUCCGUCUAAUACGGCAUAAUGCAUCGACGGGACAUCCUGUUGGUGCCAAAGGUUGAUUCCGGUGGCGGAUGGGCAUGCGUCGCAUUAGUUAGUUGGCGGUGUAACGGACCACCAAGACGACGAUGCGUAGGGGUUCUGAGAGGAAGGUCCCCCACACUGGUACUGAGACACGGACCAGACUCCUACGGAAGGCAGCAG
rnacentral:rRNA from 1 species